rnacentral:rRNA from 1 species
GAUGAACGCUGGCGGCGUGCCUAAUACAUGCAAGUCGAGCGAACAGAUGAGGAGCUUGCUCCUCUGACGUUAGCGGCGGACGGGUGAGUAACACGUGGAUAACCUACCUAUAAGACUGGGAUAACUUCGGGAAACCGGAGCUAAUACCGGAUAAUAUACUGAACCGCAUGGUUCAAUAGUGAAAGACGGCUUUGCUGUCACUUAUAGAUGGAUCCGCGCCGCAUUAGCUAGUUGGUAAGGUAACGGCUUACCAAGGCAACGAUGCGUAGCCGACCUGAUAGGGUGGUAGGCCACCCUGGAGGUGGGACGCGGUCCAGACUCCUGCGAGAGGCAGCAGUAGGGAAUCUGCCGCAGUAGGCGAGAGCAUGACGGAGCAGCGCGGAGUGAGUGAUGAAGGUCUUGCGAUCGUAAAGCUCUGUUAUUGGGGAAAAACAAAUGUGUAAGUAGCUAUACACGUCUUGACGGUACCUAGUCAGAAAGCCACGGCUAACUACGUG